rnacentral:rRNA from 1 species
UACGUAGGGGGCUAGCGUUGUCCGGAUUUAUUGGGCGUAAAGGAGCUACGUAGGCGGUCUGUCGCGUCUGCUGUGAAAACUCAGGGCUUAACCCUGAGCUUGCAGUGGGUACGGGCAGACUAGAGUGCGGUAGGGGAGACUGGAAUUCCUGGUGUAGCGGUGAAAUGCGCAGAUAUCAGGAGGAACACCGGUGGCGAAGGCGGGUCUCUGGGCCGUAACUGACGC